UACGAAGGGGGCUAGCGUUGCUCGGAAUCACUGGGCGUAAAGGGUGCGUAGGCGGGUCUUUAAGUCAGGGGUGAAAUCUUGGAGCUCAACUCCAGAACUGCCUUUGAUACUGAGGAUCUUGAGUUCGGGAGAGGUGAGUGGAACUGCGAGUGUAGAGGUGAAAUUCGUAGAUAUUCGCAAGAACACCAGUGGCGAAGGCGGCUCACUGGCCCGAUACUGACGCUGAGGCGCGAAAGCGUGGGGAGCAAACAGG
rnacentral:rRNA from 1 species